rnacentral:rRNA from 1 species
AUCCACGGCCAUAGGACUUCGAAAGCACCGCAUCCCGUCUGAUCUG